rnacentral:rRNA from 1 species
GACGAACGCUGGCGGCGUGCUUAACACAUGCAAGUCGAACGGAAAGGCCCUGCUUUUGUGGGGUGCUCGAGUGGCGAACGGGUGAGUAACACGUGAGUAACCUGCCCUUGACUUUGGGAUAACUUCAGGAAACUGGGGCUAAUACCGGAUAGGAGCUCCUGCUGCAUGGUGGGGGCUGGAAAGUUUCGGCGGUUGGGGAUGGACUCGCGGCUUAUCAGCUUGUUGGUGGGGUAGUGGCUUACCAAGGCUUUGACGGGUAGCCGGCCUGAGAGGGUGACCGGCCACAGUGGGACUGAGAUACGGCCCAGACUCCUACGGGAGGCAGCAGUGGGGAAUAUUGCACAAUGGGCGGAAGCCUGAUGCAGCAACGCCGCGUGCGGGAUGACGGCCUUCGGGUUGUAAACCGCUUUCGCCUGUGACGAAGCGUGAGUGACGGUAAUGGGUAAAGAAGCACCGGCUAACUACGU